AUUGAACGCUGGCGGCAUGCCUUACACAUGCAAGUCGAACGGCAGCGCGGACUUCGGUCUGGCGGCGAGUGGCGAACGGGUGAGUAAUACAUCGGAACGUACCCUGUUGUGGGGGAUAACUAGUCGAAGGAUUAGCUAAUACCGCAUACGACCUGAGGGUGAAAGUGGGGGACCGCAAGGCCUCACGCCGCAGGAGCGGCCGAUGUCUGAUUAGCUAGUUGGUGGGGUAAAGGCCCACCAAGGCGACGAUCAGUAGCUAGUCUGAGAGGACGAUCAGCCACACUGGGACUGAGACACGGCCCAGACUCCUACGGGAGGCAGCAGUGGGGAAUUUUGGACAAUGGGGGCAACCCUGAUCCAGCAAUGCCGCGUGUGUGAAGAAGGCCUUCGGGUUGUAAAGCACUUUUGUCCGGAAAGAAAUCGCGCUGGUUAAUACCUGGCGUGGAUGACGGUACCGGAAGAAUAAGCACCGGCUAACUACGUG
rnacentral:rRNA from 1 species